rnacentral:rRNA from 1 species
UACGUAGGUGGCAAGCGUUGUCCGGAUUUACUGGGCGUAAAGAGCGCGCAGGCGGUCGUUCAAGUCGCGUGUGAAAGCCCCCGGCUCAACUGGGGAGGGUCACGCGAUACUGAUCGACUCGAAGGCAGGAGAGGGAAGUGGAAUUCCCGGUGUAGUGGUGAAAUGCGUAGAUAUCCGGAGGAACACCAGUGGCGAAGGCGGCCACCUGGGCUGUACCUGACGCUCAAACACGAAAGCUAGGGGAGCGAACGGG